ACCUUCUUAGCACAGUGGGCAAUGCGUCAGUCUCAUAAUCUGAAGAUCCUGAGUUCGAGUCUCAUAGAGGGCA